GUAUAUGAAUUAUACCGUUUGGAAUUGAAUUGGUUUAUUUACGUUAUCCAUUAUUGCGAUAUGCUUAGUUUAAAAUAUGUUUUUUUCGUCCCAAUUCAGUAUUUUAUGUUCUGUAGCAGUUUCCCCUUUUACAAUGGAUACAAUGUUAAGAAAGUGGGCUUCGAUUUAGGGAAAUUUGUGCAACCUAUUAAAAAAUUGUCAGAUCUUUUUCCGGAUCAAAACGUUGAGGUUCAAUUCGAAGUGGAAGGUCUGAAUCACAAAAUAGUACCAAUGCAAAAGAAAUAUGUACGUCAAAAUAUCAAAAAUACUAUAACAGCUUUAAGGACCCCACCACCGACAAUGCCAUCAAAUUUUCUACCUCAAAAUCAAGCUGCCCCAAAGCUGCCCUUGCAGUAUUCUGCAACAUCCAAUAGCGAUAGGGUUGCCUUAGUAAGUGAUGUGAAAAAGGCGCUUGAAGACUUUCAAGGGAAAUAUUUAAGAGAUAAAAGUGAUCCUGUGGUAUUAGUCUCAGAUGGAUUAAGUACAAAAGACAAUUCACUAAGUGAACUUCUAGCACUAUUGAAAAAAGGCACAGAUAUCAAAAGUGGCGUCGAGAGACCGCAAGCAGACAAUAUGAGUUGGUUCCAAAUAAAAAUU